UAGAUCCAUCUAAACAUGCUUGAAAAUACACAACGUAAACCAUCUCCCUUGUUACCUUGGAAAGCAGUAAGGAUUCUAUGCAGGUUGUGCUAAGGAGAUAUUUAAGAAAAUUUUUUUCCAUACUAAAUGUGUUCAUUUGAAAUACAGAGAUCAUCUUCUCAUUUCUAUAAAUGGGAUCUGACAGGAGAAGCUCCCAAAUAUAAGAAGUGUUUCUUCCACUGCAUUCAAUGGAAAAUGGAGCACGCUAAACAGUGCUAGUGAAACAGACAUUCGUGUGCACACGCGUGCGUGUGCUGUGCGUGCACAUGUGUGUAUUAUUCCACCUGCAAAAUGGAAAUUCUUAGAACACCUUUCAGUAUACAUUUCAAAUAAUAUCACAAUUAAUGACUGGAUUUCAGAAAAUGGCUUCUUUCCAGAUCAUUUCCACAUUCAGGGUAAAAAGUGUUCUUGAGCUUUCUGUGCCCUUGCAGGAGAUGAAGGCAUGCUUGUUCCCUAACAGCACAUUUUUGAGGGAAAUCCACAUUUGCAUCUCACUGUUGGCACCCACAUCUGGGAUGCCCCCACAGCUGCCCCGACAACCCAUCUCUGGGCUCUUGACUGCAGAGGCUCGGAAACGCCAUACCCUUGACCGCAGAGGCUCGGAAACGCCAUACCCUUGACCGCAGAGGCUCGGAAAUGCGAUACCCUUGACCGCAGAGGCUCGGAAAUGCCAUACCCUUGCUUGGCUGCCCUCCUGGUGCUGACGGUGCCUCCGAGAUGUGACCCCGCUCCAGCUGGUGAGUCUAUGGAGCACCUGCUCAGUGGCUUCUGAGCAGAGUCCGGCCUUCUCCAUACUGAUGACUGCUCUUCCUGGAGCCCGUGGCAGGUGGGGCUGCAAUGGCUGACCCACGGCCAGCUGAGAGUGAGAGCCAGCAUGCUCAGAUGCAUGACGCUGGCUUGGGUCCCAACGGGGCUGACCCCAACCCGGUGUGGACAACCUCUUCUGGCUCUCCUCUGCCCUGGUCCCAGUGCAGCUAACAGUGACCCAGCCAUGACAACCUCCUUUGCCCUGGUCCUCGUGUAGCUGACCCCAACCCAGUGUGGACAACCUCCUCUGGCUCUCCUCUGCCCUGGUCCCAGUGCAGCUGACCCUGACCCAGCCGGACCAACCACCUCCGGCUCUCGUCCACUUGGCUCUACCCGUCCUUUGCUAUAACCAGGACUGGGCAGGUUUGAAGGAUGUGCCACCAAAGGCUUCCCAAACAGAACACGAGGAGAAGGCAUCUUAAUAAGGCACCUCCCAUGAUUUGGACCUGCUGAUUCUAGGGCACUUCCAAGAAGUCUGUGAAAGAACAGAGCAAGUGUGACGGGCAGGGCUGUGAACCUCUGAGUGCUUCAGAUGUAAAAGUGUGGAAGACGUCGGGCUGUGAGUGUCACGCAGCAGAAAGGUGGAGGAGGCCUCUCAGGUCGGAAGUAACAUGGUGCGCAGAAGGCAGUUUGUAUGCACAGUGGAGCACAUGUGUUGAUGCCUGAAAGCCCACAUUGAGAUCCUGGCUCAACCUCUCGCCAACGGUGUCAUUUGGACAAAUCUCUUAAUCUAUGCAACGUACAAUGAGGACAGUAGUCACAGGACAUAACUUAUGGAGUUCUGUGAAUAUAAGUGGAAGCAAUGAUGGUGCCUGGCCUGCGGCUGGUGUCGGAGCAACAAGAAGACAUUCAUUGGAUGGUUUUGCAAAUCCCAAUCUGGAUCACAGUCUCCUGCGUGCUUGCAUGUAAUGUAGAUUCCUGGAUCACGGUCUUCCGCAUGCUAGUAUGUAAUAUAGAUUCCAGGAUCACGGUCUCCUGUGUGCUUGCAUGUAAUAUAGAUUCCUGUAUCACGAUGGGAAUCUCCUCAUCUUUGCCACCGGUGGGGUACCCUCCCCACUCAUCCUGAGGUACCUGGGAGCAGACAGACAUGAAACACGCAUCAACUUUGUCACUGAGAACGGCAGCAUCAGCUCCUUUUUGGAAACAAAUCCUCUACAAUUCCAUAAAGAUACACCUCUUUACAGUCAUUUAUCAGUUAAAGUCAGAUGUAUAAAAAUGCAUAUCCUAAAAGGAAAUGAAUAUAA
rnacentral:lncRNA from 1 species